rnacentral:sRNA from 1 species
GUCUACUCGGCUUAGGGAUAGAAGCGGUAGCCCACAGGCCGUAAGCGAAGCGAGCGGACGAGGACUACAAGCGGAUAGCCCGACCUUUG